rnacentral:rRNA from 1 species
GACGAACGCUGGCGGCGUGCUUAACACAUGCAAGUCGAACGGAAAGGCCCCUUUGGGGGUACUCGAGUGGCGAACGGGUGAGUAACACGUGAGUAACCUGCCCUUGACUUCGGGAUAACUUCAGGAAACUGGGGCUAAUACCGGAUAGGAAUCCUUGCUGCAUGGUGGGGGUUGGAAAGCUUCGGCGGUUUUGGAUGGACUCGCGGCUUAUCAGCUUGUUGGUGGGGUAGUGGCUUACCAAGGCUUUGACGGGUAGCCGGCCUGAGAGGGCGACCGGCCACAUUGGGACUGAGAUACGGCACAGACUCCUACGGGAGGCAGCAGUGGGGAAUAUUGCACAAUGGGCGGAAGCCUGAUGCAGAAACGCCGCGUGCGGGAUGACGGCCUUCGGGUUGUAAACCGCUUUCAGCAGGGGCGAAGCUUGUGGUGACGGUACCUGCAGAAGAAGCACCGGCUAACUACGUG